AUGUAUAGGAUAUAGCUUCAUUUUUUGACUUUGUAUGCAUAGGACUUCCAUGGACAUGAUAUGUGAAGUGAAAGAGGAAUGUAUCUAAUAAUGGAUGUACAGAAAAUGAAGAUGUCUGCUUUCCAAAAGGAAAUAAUCUGGCUUUACUGCUGUGGUGGUUCAGUGUGUUUGGUGAUCUUUAUUUCCGAGUGACAAAAUCAUUUGCAAUCUUCUGCAACAUCAUAACUAACCGUAUACAGCCUAGCACCGUGCAUUGCCUGACCAGGGACAUCCACACACUCCUACUGUGCCAACACAUGUCAGAUGUGAAGAGCACCCUAAUUUCAAGGUGUGAGGCCUAACCUCUACAGCAAUUAGCAGAUCAUGGCCCAGCAACAGCAGAGAGACCAAACCUCUGCCUCUGCCAAGCCUGUUGAGCUUCUCUGGAGUAACGAAGAUCGUAAAAAACAGGACAAAGCUCUGAGCCCAGAGGGUGUGCUAGAAAUCUAACCACCCAAAUCUACUUGCCACAAAGGCAGGAGAAAGGCAGCUACAUCCAGAUGCAUUUGAAGUCAGGGAUAUUCAGAACGUGAGUAUCUGGCCUAGACCAUGCCAGGAAGAGGGCCUGCCCGUCAGAUGUUUACAGUCUGGAUAUAAACCGUGAGGCUUGAGCUGAACAAAAGUUCUAAGGUUUUGGACAUGGAGUUUUGUUUUGGGCUACCUCUCAUAGAAAUGGUGGACAUAUCCUUUAGAGCUACCUAGAAGCCUUAUCUCAAUAAUCAACACUCUACUGUAUGGUAGCUUUGAUACAUGCGAACAGCCAGUGUCAGACAGAUAAGCCAAGCUUGCAAUGACUUUGACAGCCCAAUGUACAAGUCGUCUUCAUCCUUUUUGUUCCUCCUGAGAAAUAGCCUUAAUUUUAGGUGAUCCUGGAAAUAGUCCAUGUCCUUACGAGGUUCACCUGUUCUGUCUGUAAGCCAACACAUCUCUGGGGGACACUGGAGCUGAAGUCCUAUUCCAAAUCCUCUUAUAAAUGACUAUUAUUAUAGCAUCAUGCAGAAACAGUAGAGAUCCCAACAGAGUUCUCCUUGUGCACUGGACACUGCACAAAUAGAGAUGAAGAGCGAGACAGCUUGCCCUGAAGAGCACACAGCUUCAGACGAUGAUCUGAACAAAGCGUGAGAGCAGGAAAAAGAGAUGAAGUAGCUCAGCUGGAGUUACACCACAGUCCAGUGAUUGAGCCAGGGACAAGGCCAGUUCCAAAACCAGCCAAUUUUAUCACAGAGGUGGAGAUAGCUCUGAUCUAACUGGGACGGGUAGAGUGGGCCAGAUGGUGUAGCCAUGACUACUGCUGCGCCCAUCACAUGGAUUGGUGUUAAUGGGAACGCUGUGCCUACCAUCCUCUUGAGGAGGCUGCACUUAAGAGCAUGCUGUCCCUUCUCUGUUUGUACAGCUCCCUCCUGCUCUGCUCAGAUUGAAAGACAAGCUUUAGGGACUGCCUCCAGCAGUCCUAAUCUUUAGGGAUUAAGCAAGAGUAUUUUCCUGAAGGCACAUGAAAAACACAUAUUCCUUCUAACCCACUUCCCACGAGUGUGGAGAAGCCCCUCUUGUAAAGUGGAAUUACUAUAGACAUGGGAGCAUCAACAGAAGAGAUGCCAAACACAGAUGCAUUUUUCUCCCUCUGCAUUUUGUAACCAGCCAGUACAAACAAUCUGCUCACUAAUAUACAUUAUUUGCUAUGUUGUUAUGCUAGAAUGUGUAGUAGCUUUGAAUAUUUACGCAGCUAUUGCUAUGUACACGCAGUCUCUCUCUUAUGGGUUAUUCUCAAUCACUUUUUAGCACAUAACUGAAUUAACUCUGUCUAUAUACUGGUAGAUAAUCCCCAAAAUAAGCUGUUUAAGAAUUGAAUCUCAUGUUGCUAAUGAAUGCAUCCAACCCUAUGGAAGAUGAACAGUGAAAGGCAUACGCGAAUGGAAAGUUAGAGUAGCAUCAUCUUCUUUAGAAGAAGCUAAAUAUAUAUCUAUAUGUGUGUAUAGACACAUGCACACUCAAACAUGCACUGCAAGAAACGGUGCCAAACUGUAUUAUAUAUAAUCCUGUUUUUUAGACGUUUAUACUAAUUACAUUGAUAUUAUUAAAUGUCAGUUUUAUACUUUAAAUAUGUAGUUGGAUUACCAAAAUAUGUCCAGAGCAUUAAAAUACAUUAAUCAUCCUACAACCAGGUAUUUUAUCUGUAGUCAGUUUUCUUUUUCAAAAAGUCACAGAUUAAUUGCUUCUGGUUGUAAAAAUGUUUACAGUGGCUCAGAGGGCCAAAGGUUAGUAGGCAAGCAUGCCGAAAAAGAUGACUUUUCCAGAUAGCAUACUUACAAUAUAGACAUCGAUUUUUG